GACGAACGCUGGCGGCGUGCUUAACACAUGCAAGUCGAACGGAAAGGCCCUGCUUUUGUGGGGUGCUCGAGUGGCGAACGGGUGAGUAACACGUGAGUAACCUGCCCUUGACUUUGGGAUAACUUCAGGAAACUGGGGCUAAUACCGGAUAGGAGCUCCUGCUGCAUGGUGGGGGUUGGAAAGUUUCGGCGGUUGGGGAUGGACUCGCGGCUUAUCAGCUUGUUGGUGGGGUAGUGGCUUACCAAGGCUUUGACGGGUAGCCGGCCUGAGAGGGUGACCGGCCACAUUGGGACUGAGAUACGGCCCAGACUCCUACGGGAGGCAGCAGUGGGGAAUAUUGCACAAUGGGCGGAAGCCUGAUGCAGCAACGCCGCGUGCGGGAUGACGGCCUACGGGUUGUAAACCGCUUUCGCCUGUGACGAAGCGUGAGUGACGGUAAUGGGUAAAGAGGCACCGGCUAACUACGUG
rnacentral:rRNA from 1 species